CGACCCCAGGAUGGGCGGGAUCACCCGCUGAGUUUAAG
rnacentral:rRNA from 1 species